UACGUAGGUGGCAAGCGUUGUCCGGGAUUUAUUUGGGUUUAAAGGGGUGCGUAGGCGGUCUUUUAAGUCAGUGCUGAAAUAUCCCCGGCUUAACCGGGAGGGUGGCAUUGAUACUGAAGGACUUGAGUACAGUCGAGGUAGGCGGAAUUGACGGUGUAGCGGUGAAAUGCUUAGAUAUCGUCAAGAACACCGAUAGUUGUA
rnacentral:rRNA from 1 species